rnacentral:rRNA from 1 species
UACAGAGGGUGCAAGCGUUAAUCGGAAUUACUGGGCGUAAGCGAGUGUAGGCGGUUCGAUAAGUCGGAUGUGAAAGCCCCGGGCUCAACCCGGGAAGUGCACUCGGAUACUGUCGAGCUAGAGUAUCGGAGAGGUUGGUGGAAUUCUCGGGUGUAGAGGUGAAAUUCGUAGAUAUCGAGAGGAACACCGGUGGCGAAGGCGGCCAACUGGACGAAUACUGACGCUGAGACUCGAAGGCGUGGGGAGCAAACAGG